GGAAUAUUGGUCAAUGGGGGAAACCCUGAACCAGCGACGCCGCGUGAGUGAAGAAGUAUUUCGGUAUGUAAAGCUCUAUCAGCAGGGACGAUGAUGACGGUACCUGACUAAGAAGCCCCGGCUAACUACGUGCCAGCAGCCGCGGUAAUACGUAGGGGGCAAGCGUUAUCCGGAUUUACUGGGUGUAAAGGGAGUGUAGGUGGCCGUGCAAGUCAGAUGUGAAAUCCCGGGGCUCAACCCCGUGACUGCAUUUGAAACUGCGUGGCUGGAGUGCAGGAGAGGUAAGCGGAAUUCCUAGUGGAGCGGUGAAAUGCGUAGAUAUUAGGAGGAACACCGGUGGCGAAGGCGGCUUACUGGACUGUAACUGACACUGAGGCUCGAAAGCGUGGGGAGCAAACA
rnacentral:rRNA from 1 species